rnacentral:sRNA from 1 species
AUCCCGUGAGGGCUUGUCUUUAUCCACCCACUGUGGAUGGUACCAUUUCCUGGGAUGGGAUCCACACUGAGCAAAAUGGAGAACAUGAGCUGAGCGCAUGCGCGUACCAUUCUCUUUCUUGACACUGGAUACAGCUGCGUCUGGCUCCGGCCCUUGUGACUUCUCCACCAAGAUAGACUGACUGUAUCCUAGAACUGUGAGCCGAGGUAAACCCAUAAGCUGCUUUCCUCAGAGUGGUUUACCACAGAAACAAGAAAAAUAACUAAUGGGCAAGAGCACCGGGUAGAAGAUGACACAGAAAGCACAAUGGGAUUUGCUCCUUCAAGAGAAGAAUGUGAUUGUUUUUUUGGAGAGUAGAGAGGCUAUGCAGCCUGCAGAGCUGCUUCAUGCACUGAUGGAUUGAGAAUGCUUUUCCCAGAGACGCUGCCUUCCUGGGUGUUCUGAGUUUCCUGGUGUUACCUGGUUUUCCCAGAUGUCCCGGCUUUCUGGAAGGCGAUGCGUUCCCAUGCGGGCGGCAUUUCCUGGAUGUACUUCAUUCCCAGAGGAGUUGAAGCCUAUGUCCAUCUCCACUCCAACUGAAGGGAAGCUUGUUAAGGAAGUAAACAAAACUUCUGAGUCUCAAGAAGCUAUGGAAACUCACAAGAGGUCCCCUCCCUUCCCAACACUGUAUGAGCAGUGACAUUUGCUGGAGGAGGGAAGAAAGGGGGGGGGACGUGACUGGAGCCCAGGCAAGCUGGGUCACACCGAGAGUCGUGCAGAAAGCUCUGGAUAUAUGAUUACCAGUUUGAGGAUGAGUUUUUCAGCAGUCUUUGCAUCACCAUGCUCCUAUAAGCAAGUAACCCUAAUAAAUUCACUGGCUCACAACAGUACUUUGGUCCGUCAUGGAUGUCCUAUCUGGGUCAAUAGACAUUUCCUCGUAUCUCCCCAGAACACAUAAAUUCUUAUUUUCACCUGUUCUUAAAGCCCCAGACCCAGAACCAUUCCUCUGUAACACCCGUCAGCUGUCCAGCCUUCCUCCUUUGGUCUCUAAGGUCCUAGCAGCUUCCUUGGUACCUGCAUCCCGAUACCUGCUCUACAAGCCCCGAGAAACAGGAGCGCUGCACCCAGACUGUCAUCUUGCUUUUAGACCAUGUUGAACCUCACGAGAACUGAGUGGUGUGGAUUCCUGCAUAAUGGCUGAUACUCAACUCAGGAGCAGGGCACAAAGCUGGAAACAGAGUCUAGCCAGACUCCAGCUCCUCCAGCUGCUUCAUUUAGCAAUGAGGAGAGCAAUGAGGAGAAGGGCAAUGAGGAGAGCAAUAGCUUGCAACUUCCGGGAGGCUGUAACCCUUGUAAGUUUGCAGCCCAAAAAGGAGGGAAGGUAGAAGAGAGUCCUGGCUGAGGUUCAGGCACUUGCUGUCAUUCCCCACCCCCACCCCAUCUUGCCUCUCCUCUGUGGUAGUCAUCUCACGAAUGGCCCACACUUAUCCCUACAAAUAUCUCUUCAGUUAUCUCCUUUCCCAUGCCUUACUUCACCCAAACCAGCAAGCCAGCCCGCUUUCCCAAGCCAGGUCCCUGGCACACAGAACGUGCUUUAUUAAAAAAAAAUGCAUAUUGUAAAACUAAA